rnacentral:rRNA from 1 species
CCUACGGGUGGCUGCAGUAGGGAAUCUUGCGCAAUGGGGGAAACUCUGACGCAGCAACGCCGCGUGAUUGAAGAAGCCUUUCGGGGUGUAAAGAUCUGUUAGUGGGGACGAAACCUGACGGUACUCACAGAGGAAGCACCGGCUAACUCCGUGCCAGCAGCCGCGGUAAUACGGGGGGUGCAAGCGUUGUCCGGAAUCAGUGGGCGUAAAGAGUGCGUAGGUGGCGCGUUUAGUCUGGUGUGAAAGGCGCAAGCACAACUUCCGUAGGGCACUGGAUCUUGGCGAGCUUGAAUGCGGUAGAGGUAAAGGGAAUUCCUGGUGUAGCGGUGAAAUGCGUAGAUAUCAGGAGGAACAUCGGUGGCGUAGGCGCUUUACUGGGCCGUAAUUGACGCUGAGGAACGAAAGCCUGGGUAGCAAAUGGGAUUAGAUACCCCUGUAGUC